UAUACUCUGUAUCUUUAGGUAUUUAAAUAAAAGUAAACAAACAAUUUGUACAUUUUCGGGUAGUUAUAACAUUACCAUACCAUUACAACCAAAUACAAAACCGCUUGGGUCUGUCACUGAACGACCUGACUUUAACCUACAUUAUUUGAUCAUGUAAUGUUUUCAACUACCCUCAAAUUUUUGAUUUUGUUUACUUUUAUUUAAAUACCUAAAGAUACAGAGUAUAAUGUGGGCAACGCGCGUCCGAUGGUCCUAGGUUCGAAUCCCGGUAAGGGCAUCUAUUUGUGUGAUGAGCACAGAUAUUUGUUCCUGAGUCUUGGGUGUUUUCUAUGUAUUUGUAUAUUACAUAUAUCGUUGUCUGAGUACCCACAACACAAGCCUUCUUGAGCUUACUGUGGGACUUAGUCAAUUUGUGUAAGAAUGUCCUAUAAUAUUUAUUUAUUUAUUUAUCCAUUUCGAG